AGGGUCAUCGGAUUGGUGCCAUUGUAGUUGCUUCGGCAACUCGAACGGUGCUGAAAAGACGACCAAACUUGAUCAUUUAGAGGAAGUAAGAGUCGUAACAAGGUUUCCGUAGGUGAACCUGCGGAAGGAUCAUU
rnacentral:rRNA from 1 species